GAUAAACGCUGACAGAAUGCUUAACACAUGCAAGUCUAUGAUGGUUAGCUAAGCCUAGCUUAGAAGAAGUCAUGGCGGACGGGUGAGUAACGUGUAAAGAACUUGCCCUCUAGACUGGGAUAACAGAUAGAAAUGUCUGAUAAUACCGGAUAUUAUUGUUACAUGGCAUCAUGUAGGAAUGAAAGGAUAAGAUUGCUAGAGGAGAGCUUUGCAUCCUAUUAGCUAGUUGGUGAGGUAAAGGCUCACCAAGCCGACGAUCUUUAGCUGGUCUGAGAGGAUGAUCAGCCACACUGGGACUGAGACACGGCCCAG
rnacentral:rRNA from 1 species